UACGUAGGGCGCAAGCGUUGUCCGGAAUUAUUGGGCGUAAAGAGCUCGUAGGCGGUCUGUUACGUCCGCUGUGAAAACCCAGGGCUUAACCCUGGGCUUGCAGUGGAUACGGGUAGACUAGAGGCAGGUAGGGGAGAAUGGAAUUCCCGGUGUAGCGGUGAAAUGCGCAGAUAUCGGGAGGAACACCGGUUGCGAAGGCGGUUCUCUGGGCCUGACCUGACGCUGAGGAGCGAAAGCGUGGGGAGCGAACAGG
rnacentral:rRNA from 1 species